AACUCGGUGAAGUUUUGUCAUGAAUAUACGUUUAAAAUAAGUGCACACUGACAGUUGAUUACGAUACAUCUAACAAUUUGAGUCAUUACAGUAAAACAUGGAUUAUAAGUGACUUAUACGCGUAAGAGAAGAUUUUCUGUCGAAAAAACUAAUGUCAACAAUCAGCAUGGAACUGGGAUAUUCGUAUCAAAGGGCUAUUCAUGCAGGAAAAGGACUGAAUAUUACUAUUAUAUGAUGAAUUCCAGCCUGCAUUAAAUACUUUGUUGGAUCAUCAAGACAGAUUUGACAUCCAUGUCUAUCCACAAGCCAGUCACAUCUGAUAGAGAUGAUCACUUAACAUUCUACUAGAUGGGUAAAGAACCUGAAGGGGCAUGAAAACCAAAUCAGCAUUGACUCAGCAUUGAGUAAUUUUCAUCUGUGCACACACUACAAGUACAAACGCAUGGGAACAAACCAAACUUCAAAUGUUGAAGAGUGAAGAAUUAUUGUGAAAAAUUCUAAAUGUUAGAAUACCAUUGACUAAAUAAAACAAAUAGACAUCGAUUACCAACAGAGACUGUUUACAUGUUAUAAUAUUAAAAAGACAUUAGUUGAGAACUUUCACUCUGACAUUUUUGGAGGGGCAUUACCGCCUACUUAGUGUUCUUGUUUCUUUACAUAUUUUAAUUUAAAAGUACAUUCAUUGUUUUUAAAUCUGAAUUCUGAGUUAGUAUCACAAGUAAAAUUUAUUUAUUUGAAUGAUUACAUUUUAUGAAUAAGUCCAAUUAAGCUUUUUACAAUAAAAAGGUUGAUUUUUAAGCAUUUUAUUAGUUAUAAAAAUGUAUAAUUACAUGACAUUAUGUAUAUUUCCUUCAAAACUGAACGGUAAACUAUCAUAAAUUGUCUUUUAAAUUGUUCAUUAGACAUCAUAGAAAAUAUUUAAAAUGAUUUCAGCAGGUUGUCUUGUUAUUAACUAUUUUUUAUGAAUUUAGAAAACUGCUAUAUAUUUUCAAACAUUGAAAUACUGCUCUGUUCCGAAGACUCACAAGAUCAAUCAAAAUGAUUUUUUUCCAUGUGUAUCAAUAAUAUGUUCGGUUGAACUUAAUUUUUCUGUUAACUGAAGUUUAUUUUACCAGAAACUGUUGUGUUUAUUUCAUAAUCUCUGAUAAGGUGAAAAAAAAAUCAAAUAUAGACAAGAUAUUUUUAAUUCACAGUAAAAAAUCUUCAAAAUUUGGAUAAAAGUCCCAUAGUGUACCAUGAUAAUAACUAUGUUAUCGAUAAAAGCUUUAUAAAAGUGUGUAUUACUUAUACCUUAAUUCAGUUUAAAUAAUUAUGGCCUUUAAGGAUUUGUGUUUUCAUAUAGAUUUCCUGUUAUAUUGAGCUUCGUCAAUUUUUGUUGUUGUUUUGUGUUACAUUUGUAUGUACAAUUACUACUUCUAUUUCCUAACUUUUGUCUCAUUUGUCAAAUUGAAUUGUUACAUAUUUAAGUGAAAAAACACACACACUAUUUUUUAAAGAUGCACUCUUACUCCCAAAUAAGACUUAUGAUAAUUAAUAUUAUUGUUUUCAUUUUUCAAAAUGGGUUGAUAGAUGUCAACAAAAAUGUUUCUAAUGAAGGAUCUUGAGUUCAAUUUGCUAAUUAAUAAGAAUGAACAUAAAACAUGGUAUUUCUGCCUUGUGAUACUAUAGUAGACCACAGUAAAUCUUUUAGCAAUCACCAAUCAUUUAAUAUUUGUCAUGCUUUCUGCUACUAUAAACAGGGUGACAAGCUUGUUAUCAGUAAACGAUAUUUCAGUAAAUGCAUUAUUUAGUAAGUAGUUAUUGUUUUUUUUCAUUCAAUUUGAUGUGUGUUAUAAAUACAAUUAUAUGUAUUGAUUUCAAAUAAGAGUUUCACUUUAAAGAUGCUCAUUUAAAGAUAAUGAACAGACAGCAAAAACUAGACACAUUUGAUACUAAUUAUAUGAUUGAUUAUUGUUUUAUAUAUAGGUGACCUCUGAUUUGUUUUGGAGAUAUUCAUAAAUGGGUGUUAUUCUUUAUUGUCUUCAGUUUCUUAUACAUUUAAGGAUUUUUAUAAUUGCUUUUCUGGUAUAUACUACAAUGUAAUUUAAUGCAAAUGAAAACACACUUUAAACUAGACACAUAUGAUACUAAUGAUAUAAAUGAUUAUUGUUUACAUGUACUCUGAUUUGUUAUGAAGAUAUUCAUAAAGGGGUGUUCUUCAUGUUAUUAUACAUUUUGGACUUGAUUUAGUAUUGCUUUUCUGGUAUAUAUUCAUUUAAUGCACAAAGAAAUUGUUUUAAGUGUUCAGUAUCACUUUCACACAUUGUUUACUAAUUUUUUUUGCAUAUUUGGCCUAUUUAUGCUUAUAUGUGCAUUGUUGUAUUUCAAAACCUUUGCGAAAAAUAGAAACAGUAUUAUUUCUUUCAUACAUAGUCUGAUACAUAUUCAGUUUGAAUGCGUUAUUUUUAUCAUAUUUGAAAAAAUUGCCUAUGUCCAAUAAGACACAUGCUGUUUUUGUGUUAAUAUCAACUAAAAACAUCAAUUUUCAACUCUUCUCUACUAUGUAAAUGAAGAAGUUAACAUAAUAACUCAAUUGACUAGAUUUUUAUACAAUUUUACAUUACAUUUUAGUAUUAUUAAACAGCUAAAAACAAGGCAUGUUAUGUUAUAAAUGCAUUUCAUCUAGUAAACAAUGUUCACUUUUUAUAUAACAGUUCAAUAAUUAUGUUCUAUUUAUGUUUGCAACUUUACAGUUCAAUACUUAUGUUCUAUUUAUGUUUGCAACUUUCGGACGAAAUGAUAAUGUUUAU